CCGAGAAUAGCUCAGCUGGCAGAGCGGGAGACUGUAGUGGCUGUGCGGAAGCGUGCGGUAGUUGUCAUCUCUAGGUCCCUGGUUCAAUUCCGGGUUCUCGGA